rnacentral:rRNA from 1 species
AGUGAACGCUGGCGGUAGGCCUAACACAUGCAAGUCGAACGGCAGCACAGUAAGAGCUUGCUCUUACGGGUGGCGAGUGGCGGACGGGUGAGGAAUACAUCGGAAUCUACUUUUUCGUGGGGGAUAACGUAGGGAAACUUACGCUAAUACCGCAUACGACCUACUGGUGAAAGCAGGGGAUCUUCGGACCUUGCGCGAUUGAAUGAGCCGAUGUCGGAUUAGCUAGUUGGCGGGGUAAAGGCCCACCAAGGCGACGAUCCGUAGCUGGUCUGAGAGGAUGAUCAGCAACACUGGAACUGAGACACGGUCCAGACUCCUACGGGAGGCAGCAGUGGGGAAUAUUGGACAAUGGGCGCAAGCCUGAUCCAGCCAUACCGCGUGGGUGAAGAAGGCCUUCGGGUUGUAAAGCCCUUUUGUUGGGAAAGAAAAGCAGCAGGUUAAUACCCCGCUGUUCUGACGGUACCCAAAGAAUAAGCACCGGCUAACUUCGUG